rnacentral:rRNA from 1 species
GACGAACGCUGGCGGCGUGCUUAACACAUGCAAGUCGAACGGAAAGGCCCUGCUUUUGUGGGGUGCUCGAGUGGCGAACGGGUGAGUAACACGUGAGUAACCUGCCCUUGACUUUGGGAUAACUUCAGGAAACUGGGGCUAAUACCGGAUAGGAGCUCCUGCUGCAUGGUGGGGGUUGGAAAGUUUCGGCGGUUGGGGAUGGACUCGCGGCUUAUCAGCUUGUUGGUGGGGUAGUGGCUUACCAAGGCUUUGACGGGUAGCCGGCCUGAGAGGGUGACCGGGCACAAUGGGACUGAGGUACGGCCCAGGAUCCCACGGGGGGGAAGAGUGGGGAAUAUUGCACAAUGGGCGGAAGCCUGAUGCAGGAACGCCGGGGGCGGGAUGACGGGCUUUCGGUUGGAAACCGCCUUCGGCUGGUACCAAGCGUGAGGUACGGUAAUUGGUAAAGAAGCCCCGGCUAACUACGUU